rnacentral:rRNA from 1 species
GAGUUUGAUCGUGGCUCAGGACGAACGCUGGCGGCAGGCUUAACACAUGCAAGUCGAACGCGUGUAGCAAUACACGAGUGGCGCACGGGUGAGUAACGCGUGGAUAUCUGCCUUUUGGUUCGGAAUAACCCCGGGAAACUGGGGCUAAUACCGGAUGGUUCCCUCGGGAUAAAGAUUUAUCGCCAAAAGAUGAGUCCGCGUACGAUUAGCUAGUUGGUGAGGUAAUGGCUCACCAAGGCGACGAUCGUUAGCUGGUCUGAGAGGACGAUCAGCCACACUGGGACUGAGACACGGCCCAGACUCCUACGGGAGGCAGCAGUGGGGAAUAUUGGACAAUGGGGGCAACCCUGAUCCAGCCAUGCCGCGUGAGUGAUGAAGGCCUUCGGGUUG